rnacentral:rRNA from 1 species
AAGGAAUUGACGGAAGGGCACCACCAGGAGUGGAGCCUGCGGCUUAAUUUGACUCAACACGGGAAAACUUACCAGGUCCGGACAUAAGAAGGAUUGACAGAUUGAGAGCUCUUUCAUGAUUUUAUGGGUGGUGGUGCAUGGCCGUUCUUAGUUGGUGGAGUGAUUUGUCUGGUUGAUUCCGUUAACGAACGAGACCUCAGCCUGCUAAAUAGUUAUGCUAUUCUUGAAUAGCUUAGCUUCUUAGAGGGACUUUCCGGGUCU